AGCUCUCGUCAAUGGUGAUUGAG
rnacentral:siRNA from 1 species